rnacentral:tRNA from 1 species
GGGCCUCUAGCUCAGUUGGCAGAGCAUCGGACUUUUAAUCCGCGGGUCGAGGGUUCGAGCCCCUCCGGGCCCA